AUCCACAAGGCAUGUUGGACGUCAAGAUGGUGCUUAAAGCUCCAGGAACAAUAAGUGAAUGAACAGACAUACAGUGCUCGUCAUUCUGUAGAUUGUCUUUCUUGCUUAAAUACAGUUGAAAAAAAAGGGGGAGAAAACACAUCAGGUCCAUGACGUCCAUUCAUUUUCAUCUCCGUCAUCUCUCCGUACAUCAGGUGGACGGCUGCUGUCAGUGGUGUUUCUCUUUGUGCUGCUGGAGAUUAGUGACCACUGCAGGGAUGAACGGGUUUUUGUGAGAGUGAUGAAAAAGGAAAGUCACAGGAGUUUAUCUGCCACUGAUCCACGACACAUGAGAUUUAGGAACAUAAACCGAAACUACAGUACAUUGAAGGAGGAACAGUCAAACCUUUGAUGCUUUGGCCAAAUGAUUACACGGGGUGAGCUGUGGUACAGUAGACUAAUGGAGCAUGACCAUCAUCCACCGCCUUCAAUGGGUGGAGCAUUAGCUGAAUAGGCUCUUCCUGUCAGAAUAUCCUUUCUUUAGGUUUAUCUUUAGCAAAGCUGGUGAUUUCUGAUGCUGUGAUUUAUGGCUUACAUGUAGAAAAUGAUGAUUUGCAUAAAAAAGGAGCGCAUUUUUAACUUCAUUUUCUUAGAACAUACCAGCAAUAUCUUGCUGUUCAUGGCUACAUUUAAAUGAUUUGAAGCCUUAAUGUUUUAAAGAUGACACAAACCUGUGCACACGGCUGAAAAACACUCCGCUAAUACACUCAUGUUCCUGCCGAAUGUGAGCUGUCGUUGAACACAGGGUCUAAAAUUGUAUGUCCCAGUGGGUGGCUGACACUUUGCUACAGGGGCAACAAACAACACUGGCCUCACACUGUUCUAAUAGCCAACAGCUGCAUUUGCGAGCAAAGCUACUAAAAAAUGGGGGAAUCCUUGUGUAAAUCACUCGUUCAUAAUCUGUUUCUGCUGCAACAAGCCUGGUCUGCCGCCAGCUGUGGGCUGAAUGAAAACAAGCCAAAGUCAUCAAAGCAGCCCAUCUAUAAUCCAUCCCCAGGAUACAGCCCAAAAAAGGAACAACAGAGAUAUGAAAGUGCUGUCUUUGUUUCCGUGUAAUCAAUACAGGCAGAGGAUAAUAUUUACUGCUGUGUGGUGCAGUGUGAAGAGUGGAUACAAGUUGAACAAAGAGAUAAAACUCUGGCACGUGUUUCGUCUUUACUAUCUUCACUUGACACAGGCAAGAAACUAAUCACAGACCAGGGGAUUAAGGAAAAGGUAGUUGUGAUUUAAAUUAUAUUAGACCAUAAUUGACAUAUACAAGGAUAAUUCUAGGGGAUGAGGCAGUAGUUAAAGAAGACAGAAACACAAAUUCUGGAAUGUCUGCAGAAAUCAUCAAGACAUGAAAUGUCGGUAAAAAGGUACAAUUUCUAAGGUACAGAGUAUUUUAAAGUGAGAUACUCUAAUAUUGUUCAUGUCCUGAGGCGGAGGUUUAACAAUCAAGCAUGUGGUUCCUCUGCUCUCUGCUUCUGAGGAAGGCAUGCUAAACUCUACACUGUGGAACAUACCCCGCCUUCCUGUUUCCCCAGGGUUAUUUAGUGUCAUCACACUCACCUGUGUCCUGUCCUUCUCUGCUAAUCAGUCUCACUCAGCUCAUAUGGUGUCCUGCGUUCAUAUACCUCUCUCCCUCACCCUUCCUCUCUGUCAGUCACUGCUGGAUCGUCCUCCUCAUUGUCCCUGUUCUGUGGGUCUGAAGAUUAUGAUUUCUGAUGUCCCUGUGAUAACAUCACUGCAGGUCCGCAGUUUGGCAGGAACCCACUGUUAUCACUGCUCUGGAGGAAAUUAUAGCUUUAUCAUGUGGCUCAGGAGCGUUGUCAGCCCACCUCAGUGAAGUAGAGAGACACCUGGACUGUCUUGGUUUCUGGAAGACAACUCAACUCCUGUCCAAGAGGAUUCUUCAGCUCAAUCGACUUCAACUUCACUGCCUUAGAUAAAAAAUACCUGGAUGACCCUAAAAGCUAUGAAUUAAAAAAUAACUUUACUUUUUGGGCUAUUUAUUUUACUUGGAAUCCACUUGAUUCCUACAUAUAACAUAUUUAUAAAAAAUAUCUGACACAUCGCCAUAAUAUUGUGUCUUUAGCAGUCAUUCGGACUCACGUCCAA